rnacentral:rRNA from 1 species
ANAGUUUGAUCCUGGCUCACGNCNNNNGCUGGCGGCGUGCUUAACACAUGCAGGUCGAACGACACNAUUGAAAGCUUGCUUUUGAAAGUCGAGUGGCAAACGGGUGAGUAACGCGUAGACAACCUGCCGUAAAGAUGGGGACAACAGUCCGAAAGGACUGCUAAUACCGAAUGUUGUGGAACUUCCGCAUGGGAGCUCCACUAAAGAUGGCCUCUACUUGUAAGCUAUCGCUUUACGAUGGGUCUGCGUCUGAUUAGCUAGUUGGUGGGGUAACGGCUUACCAAGGCGACGACCAGUAGCCGGUCUGAGAGGAUGAACGGCCACAUUGGAACUGAGACACGGUCCAGACUCCUACGGGAGGCAGCAGUGGGGAAUCUUCCGCAAUGGGCGCAGCCUUGACGGAGCAACGCCGCGUGAGUGUAGAAGGUCUUCGAUCCGUAAAGCUCCUGUUGUUGGGGACGAAAAGUNNAG